rnacentral:rRNA from 1 species
UAGUCCACGCCGUAAACGAUGAGCACUAGUUGUGGGCGGCAUUAACCCUGUCCGUGACGUAGCUAACGCGUUAAGUGCUCCGCCUGGGGAGUACGGUCGCAAGACUAAAACUCAAAGGAAUUGACGGGGGCCCGCACAAGCGGUGGAUCAUGUGGUUUAAUUCGAAGCAACGCGCAAAACCUUACCUGGGUUUGAAAUCCCGAGAAUCCUGUAGAGAUACGGGAGUGCCCUUCGGGGAAUUCGGUGACAGGCGCUGCAUGGCUGUCGUCAGCUCGUGUUGUGAAAUGUUGGGUUAAGUCUCGCAACGAGCGCAACCCCUAUCCUUAAUUGCCAGCAUUAAGUUGGGCACUUUAGGGAGACUGCCGGGGUUAACCCGGAGGAAGGUGGGGAUGACGUCAAGUCCUCAUGGCCCUUAUAUCCAGGGCCACACACGUGAUACAAUGGAUGGUACAAAGGGAUGCGAACUCGCGAGGGCAAGCAAAUCUCAAAAAGCCAUUCUCAGUCCGGAUUGGAGUCUGCAAUUCGA